GAUCAUGGCUCAGGAUGAACGCUAGCUACAGUCUUAACACAUGCAAGUCGAGGGGGCAGCAUGGUCUUAGCUUGCUAAGGCCGAUGGCGACCGGCGCACGGGUGAGUAACGCGUAUCCAACCUGCCUUACACUCUUGGACAGCCUUCUGAAAGGGAGAUUAAUACAAGAUGUUAUCAUGAGUAAGCAUUUUCGCAUGAUUUAAAGGUUUACCGGUUUAAGAUGGGGAUGCGUU
rnacentral:rRNA from 1 species